rnacentral:rRNA from 1 species
UACGUAGGUGACCAGCGUUGUCCGGAUUUACUGGGCGUAAAGAGCGCGCAGGCGGUCGUUCAAGUCGAGUGUGAAAGCCCCCGGCUCAACUGGGGAGGGUCACUUGAUACUGAUCGACUCGAAGGCAGGAGAGGGAAGCGGAAUUCCCGGUGUAGUGGUGAAAUGCGUAGAUAUCGGGAAGAACACCCGUGGCGAAGGCGGCUCUCUGGGACGGUACUGACGCUGAGACGCGAAAGCGUGGGGAGCGAACAGG